rnacentral:rRNA from 1 species
AAGCGCUUGCGACCAGACUUGCCCUCGGUUGAUCAACCUGGUGUUCCUCACCGGUGCACUCUGCUGAGGUCAGGCCAGCAUCAGUUUGGGCGGUUGGAGAAAGGCCGUGGGAAUGUGACUUCCUUCGGGGAGUGUUAUAGCCUUCGGUGUCAUGCAACCAGCCUGGACUGAGGACCCCGCCUUUAGUGGCUAGGAUGCUGGCAUAAUGGUCGUAAGCGA